AACAUUUCUAUCUAGUUAUUUUCCAAUGAGAGGAUUACACAUACAAAAUAAAAUAAAAUAAAUAUAAAAGUAGACAGUUCGAUCCAGUUUAGCGAAUGACUCAUUAAAUCAGUUAUAGUUUGUUUGAUGGUACCUACUACUCAGAUAACCAUAGUAAUUUUAGAGCUGAUACAUGUAAUAAACCCCGACUUUUGGAAGGGAUGCAUUUAUUAGAUAAAAGGCUGACGUGGGCUCUGCCGGUUGAUCUGAUGAUUCAUGAUAACUCAACGGAUCGCAUAUCCAUCGUGCUGGCAACACAUCAUUCAAAUAUCUACCCUAUACUCUUUCGAUGGUAGAAUAGUGGCCUACCAUAGUGGUAACGAGUGACAGAGAAUUAGGGUUUGAUUCAAGAGAAGAAGCUUGAGAUACAACUACCAUUUCCAAGGAAGGCAGCAUGCAUGCAAAUUACCCAAUCCUGACAUGGGAAGGUAGUGACAAUAAAUAACAAUACCAGACUUAUAAAGUCUGGUAAUUGGAAUGAGUACAAUCUCAAUGCCUUAAUGAGGAUCCAUUGGAGGCCAAGUCUGGUGCUAGCAGCCACGAUAAUUUCAGUUCCAAUAGAGUAUAUUUAAGUUAUUGCAGUUAAAAAGCUUGUAGUUAAACCUUGGGUUGGGUCGACCGGUCCACUUUUGGUGUGUACCGGUUGGCCCAUCCCUUCUAUCGUCUCUACGAUCCUGGCCUUAUUUGGCCGGGUCGUGUCUCCGGUGUUGUUACUUUGAAGAAAUUAGAGUGCUCAAAGUAAGCCUACGCUCUGGAUACAUUAGCAUGGGAUAACGUCAUAGGAUUUUGGUCCUAUUUUGUUGCCCUUUGGAAUCAGAGUAAUGAUUAACAGGGAUAGUCAGGGGCAUUUGAAUUUCAUAAUUAGAGGUGAAAUUCUUGGAUUAUGCAAAAUCUCAAAACCAAACCAAAUCAAACAAUCACAGUCUGGUUCAAUUUUUAAACAACAAAAAAGACGCACCCUUCCACCCAAGCAGUA
rnacentral:ncRNA from 1 species